AAAAAGGUGAUAAUAGCAACAUAAAUUUCUGCAUAAAUAAAUUGUGCAGUGAGGAUAUAAUAGGAUAAAAUAGGAUGGAGAAGGGCUCACUUUUGUAGUACUUCGAAGGGUCCAAAUUAGGCCUUUUUGUCGCCAAAUUUCUGCACCCGUGGAAAAAACUUACCUUUGUUGUAUGUAACCCUCUCACUAACAAACUACAUACGUAGAUUGAGCUCAUAAUCAGUUGUUCAACUUUACACGUCGCAUAAAAAUUUUAUCGUGUAGCCGGGCUUAUCUGCACCGCGGUCCGUUUGCCUCUACGGACCGAAAGUAAUUCGGUCGCCGAAUAGAAAAAAAUAUUAAAAUUGGUGUCCUAUAACCUCCUUUUCGCAAUUAUUGACCAAGUCUUAAAUUGGUUCAUCCGAUUUGCACGAAAUUUUGACGGAAUCCUUACACUCUGCUGAUAAAGGCAGUGGCCAAAUAACAGUCCAAUCUAAUUUUAGAAUUAUUUCCUAUCAUACUAUUUCAUAUUUGGACGAGUUGUUACAGUCAUAAAAUUAAAUUUUUCAAAAUUUGUUAAAAAACUCAAACAUUUUGGAAACUGCAGAGAAUUACGCCACUAAUAUUAUUGUCGUACACAAAAUCACAUAAAUUUUACGGUAUCAAAUCAUACCUAAAAAUCGUUUAAAGCCGAAAAUAAAACCACGAUUUCAUUCUAUCCUAAAAAAACUAAUUCGUCCAUUCAACACCACGUCAAUAAUCUGGCAUCACACGAGGACACAAAUAUGCGAUGAUCCAGGUCAAGCGUCAGUGGGACGGCGACAAGGAAAUCGGCCCGGCUGAAUUAUGUGAUUGGAAAACGAACGUUUGAAAUCGAAACGAGUUAUUUACUGUCAAACGCACGAGUUCACUUGCAAAAAAAUAUUUUCGCCAUAACCACACACACACACCACAC